rnacentral:rRNA from 1 species
AACGUAGGAGACAAACGUUAUCCGGAGUUACUGGGCGUAAAGGGCGUGUAGGUGGUUUCGUAAGUCUGGCGUGAAAUUUUUCGGCUUAACCGGGAAAGGUCGUCGGAUACUGCGGGACUAGAGGACGGUAGAGGCGUGUGGAAUUCCGGGUGUAGUGGUGAAAUGCGUAGAGAUCCGGAGGAACACCAGUGGCGAAGGCGACACGCUGGGCCGUACCUGACACUGAUGCGCGACAGCGUGGGGAGCAAACAGG